AAAAUAUAUUGCGAAAAUAAGAAUAACAUUUAAGAAGUGUUUUUUAUAUGAGAUGUGUCUUGAAGCAAAUGAUAGAUUUAAAAUCAUUUAAUGGAAUUAUUUAAAUCAUGUCAUGCGUGGAGAGUGGCAUAAAGGAGUGGACAUUUUUGGAAUGAAGGAAUUUUUUUUCAUUAGAUAAAUUAAAGAAAAUUAAAUUUUCUUUGGUAUCGUCGAAUUCUAUUAUGCACAGAUUUUUUAUUAAAUUCAAAUUUUCGAUACAUAUUUUUCUAUGGAGUAGCAGCGAUAUUUAUCUCAAAGUUCACGAUAUUUAAAAUUUCUUAUAAAAGAUAUAUUUUAUAUUACGGGCAUAUGUGAAUAUGACAGAAGUAUCGAUGAUAAGAGAUUUCCUUUAAUCGUAAGUGAAACCUGCUAGACAGAAAUAUAGAAAGCGGCAUUUAUAUGCAUAGUGACAAAAAUUCAAUACGAGGCAAAUAUUGGCUCGAUAUCACUUAACCGCUAUUCGCAUUUGAGCAUUGACCAUUUUCACUAAUGUUUGCUCGAUAAAUUAUUCAGUUAUACAUGAUACUGCAUUAAGUAUAACUAACAUACUAUAUACGUACAUAUACAUUUAUAUGCAUUAAUAUAAAAUUUCAACAGAAAAGUCGUAAUACGAUAUUAUAAUAUUUAUUACGUCAAUUUAAAAAAUUUCUCAGAGCUUAUGAAUAAAACCAGAUAAUUAAAUCUCCAAUUUUUCUCAUCGCAAA